rfam:Triticum aestivum genome assembly, contig: Triticum_aestivum_CS42_TGACv1_scaffold_291529_4AL
AAUGUACUCCCUCCGUUUCGAAUUACUCGUCGCAGAAAUGGAUAUAUCUAGAUGUAUUUUAGGUCUAGAUAUAUCCAUUUCUGCGACGAAUGAUUUGGACCGGAGGGAGUAAGAU